AAGUAUCAUAAGAACAAACAUUCAAGCAUACAAAUAUCUACUAAAAAUAGUUUUUUUGUUCCUAAGAUUAGGUUAUCUAUUCCUAAAAGUCACUUUAGGCACAGGAUUUCAAAGUGUGAAAUCCAAGUUUGUCUUUAGAAAGAAAAGGUAAGAAUAAUCAGAGUAAAGCAGAAAUAGAUGAGAAAAGAUUAAGAAAAGUUUAGAAAGAAUCAGAGUGGCAAAGGUAAGUAGAGAAUAGUUGUCCAGUUCUAUCUAGGUUUUGUCCUACAGUCAACAUUGCUCUGAUACCACUUCUGUCACACCCAGGUUUCGGGGCACCAAGACCCGGGCGCGAACAUAAUCACCAGGUGUGCUGGGACUAAGUCUUACACAUAUAAUGAAUCAAGGCCCAGGAUCGAAUGUCACAUCUUUACUACAUAACAGGAGUUCUAUACAAAAUAAAUAAAUAAUUACAUUAUAAGGAGACAAAGGUUCAGUAACCCAAAGUUGACUGGGAGACGAUGACCUAGACCUCUCACGAACUCGUCACGACAUCCUCCAUGCGCCUCAUACUGCGGUACCUGUUCUUGACCUGUGGGGGUGUGAGACAACAAGAGUGAGCUCACAUACGUUCAUAGCUCAACAAGUUGUGAGGAAUAAUGUGUAUGAACUCGCCAAAGAUGGGAGUUCAUGUGAAGUGUAAGGCUUACCAAAGAGGAUGGUUAGAGCUGAGCAUUGCUUUUAAAGUUGGUCAAAAUUUUAUUAGCAAUUACUAAGUAUAAGUGAAUACCAACCCAAUUAAGUAGUAGAACAAAAGAAAUAACAACACCUGCGAUGCAAUGCAUAUGACAAAUUGAAUUUAGUUCCAUAUAUUAAUCAUGUGAGGGUCCGAGCUGCUCAUGACCGUGAGCACGGCUAGUAUACCAGUUUUACACUCUGCAGAGGUUGCGCAUCUUUACCCACAAGUCAUGUUACCCAUCUGCCAAGGGAUCGCGACUUCCCAUACACCUCUACCGAGGAGGCGACGCAGGGUAACACUACGAGGCCUUUACAAAGUUCCACUAGCUUCAGAAAACCCGCUAUAGUUUAUAGGAAGCUCCAAUGUAGGGAUCCCUCGCCUGACCCCAUCACAACAAAAUCAACCCAAGGACCUCCCUACACUGACCACUCCCCUACUGCCCUUGCCCCUUUCGGGUAAGGUAGUCAUCCACUAGCUUUCCUAAUUAAUCAGCCAAGGGGUCCCAUUCCUCCCUUGUGGUAGCACUAUUUUCCCGGGUGGUCGCUCCAUGUUCCAAUUAACAUAAUGAUCUUAUCAUGAACAGUACAUAACAAUUGAUAAUAAAAGUAUGAUAAUAAAUAGUGUGUAUCUCUAUACCUAAAACCACAUAUAGCAAUAGCAAGUACUACCAAAGAAUUCAGUAGUAAACAAGGUAUAAAGAUAGUCAAACUAGGGUAACCUAUUGGGUCCCAUCAAAAUUUACCUAUGCAGAUCAUUAUGAUUAAUCAGAACAUGACUGGGUAAAAAGAAGUGAUCAAGGGCACAACUUGCCUGGGACUUGAGAUUCCAGGUACCAGGAUGAUCUUCAGAUUCUCGUGACCUCGUGCUAGUCGUAGCGAUUCAAACAAACAUGGUGAUACAACCACGCCAUUAAGCAACACGUUACAACCCCUAAGUCAUACUACAUCAACUCAAGUACAACCAACAUCAUCACCAACCCAAGUCUUUGAUGGACCAAUUACACGUAGCCGAGCUAAGAAGCUACAACAAGAGGUGCACGCGCUAAUUUAUGAAUUUCAAUUAAACACUAAUGAGAACUUUAUGCUACCUAAGUUGUGUAUGUUGAUAUUACUUAGGUUCACCAAAGAGGAAGGACAAAACAUAUCAAAGGCGAAUCAACAAGAAGAGCUAUGUCCGAGUCAGUCCAGCGCUACAGAACCGUCCAGAAGAAACAGUCAUAUCUUUUGACUCCCAAAAGCUAUGAAGUCCCAUAAGUACUUUUUGGAAAGCUCUUGAAGUCUAGUUUCCAAUGCUUCUAAGGCCGACUUAAUCAAAUCUACCAGAAAGGCAGCCGACCUACUUUAGUGCUGACUGGUCAAAAGGUCAAUAGUCUAUUUGAUGACCAAGUUUUCGUAUUAAAUGCAUCAUUCUACGAAGUUUCAUUAAGCAUGCUAUACAUAGUGACAAAGCCUAUUAAGUCAGCUUUCCAACGCAUCCAGUCCCACAUCAUUUGAAGAUUCAUAGAAGAAGUUAUUGUCAAAAUACUGAAGGCUGCGCAGAAGUCAAACAGACACACGGAAAUCAGCUCUGCAGAUCUCCCGAAGAGGCUCCUUCACAUUAGCACGUGAAAAUACUUUUGUUUCAUGUUUAUACCUUGCUAAGGCUGGAUGUUACUAGUAUAAAUACCCCCCUAUGUCUAUGAUGUAAAGGAGCUUUUGAUAAUCUAAAACAGAACCCCUUUGUUCAGUUGUGUGCUAACAAAUAUUGAGAGUGAUAUCUACCCAUUUGCUCUUGUGAAUUCCUUCACAGGAUUGCAGAAGCGGCGACUUCAUCCGCUCCCAAGUGGUGCUCCUACUCCCUUCAAGGUCUCCUCGAUUGAUUGUAGGCUGUGUUGGUUGGUUCUUUGAGAGUGUGGUUGGGCGAAUCCUCGAUUCAGGUUGCCGGUUAAAGACGGUUGUUGGCUUCGAGUUUUAUUUGUCAGGUUGCACUAGUUAUCGCUGCUUGCAGCAAGUUCACUUGGCUUCUUCGAAGCUAGUUAUCUGAAGAUUUAUCCUACGUCAUGAAGAUCGGGCAUCAUGACGCAUCAUCUGGUAUCAAAGCCUCAGUUGCCACGGUAGGAUUCUUUACCCUUAGCUACAUAUAUUUUGUGUUCGUCCUAUCCACCAAAAAGCCAUAAAAUAUUUUUGCCAUAGCCCUUUGUUUCAAUCUGUUGUUCAAGUGAGUUUUGUUAAGUUUCAGUCCUUAGAGUCUUUGUUUAGUUGCUGGUCACUCUAUCCUUUGUGUUUCCUUUGAGCCUCUUAUAUAUAUAUCUGAAAAUAUCCACAAAAAAGAGUAUCAAAGUGUGAAAUAUCAUAUCAGAUCUCUGUGUUUAGUUCUAUAAAAAAGAGUAUCAAAAAAAGAGAAGAAAGAAAAAUAUCAAAAAAAAGUGUUGAACAAGAUUGUGAAAGAAAAGUAGAACGAUCAGUUUGUUUAUGUGCACAAGUGUUGAAAGUUCAUCAAGUUGUUCAACCAGUUUGCUAUUGUCUUUUGGUGCAAAAUUUUGGUUGGGUCUGAUCGCAACACUUACAUUCCAACCAUACUCCUUGAUUUGCAUCAAAUCUGAAAAUUCUUUGCGCGUGUGUUUGAUCUACUUACAUCACUCGUAUCUUGUGGUCAGCACUAGGCAGUGAACUUCUAGUUGAAUGGUUAUUUAACUUUACAACAACUAGGAUUCAGAUUGCAUUCCUUGUUUACUAUUCCCCACCAAGAUCCACAUAUAAGCCAUCGUAAUCGGUACUUUGGUCUUGUAUUCGCUUAACCAUCACUUCAUUGUUACCACCACACAUUUUUCUUGCAACCCGCAGGGACCUCAUAAGAGCUUUGGUUGGUAAGAGUGGUGAGGUUGUGAGAUUCUAUAUAACUUCAUAUUCCACCUAUAUUUGUUGCCUUGUCGCCACUAAUUUCGCAGGAAGAUGGAUCCCAACGUUGAGAUUGAAGAAUGUGUCACCAUGAUACAAUUCAAUGAGCUCAAACAAAGCAUAGAAGACAAGCAAGAUCUGUUGGCACAAGAUCUUCAGACACUUAUGGCUGAAAUCAGAGGUCAUCGUUGACUCCCUGAUGGGGUAAGAAACCAUGAUGAAGAUGGGGAAGAGGGUGAAGGAAAUUAUUCUAGAAGGGCAAGUGAACAUGGGAGGAGGAAUCAAGGUGUUGCACGUGGUAGAGGAAGAGGACGGAAUCGAAGAAAUGAUGACAAUGAAGAAUCCGAAUUUGGGAAUGAUGAUGAUCAGUCCCAACGUCGCUAUGGUCGUUGUCAUCAUAGAGGUGUCAACCAAGAAGAGAGAUUUGGGAAACUUAAGUUUACCAUGCCAAAAUUUGAUGGUAGAUCUGAUCCUGAAGAUUAUUUCACAUGGGAAUUGAAGGUGGAGAAAAUCUUCCGCCUACAUAAUUAUUCAGAGGAAAAGAAACUUGCAAUGGCAUCUCUUGAGUUUGAAGGAUAUGCUCUUGGUGGGAGCAACUUAUUCGUGACCGUGAAGAAGAUGGAGAGGACCCUAUUAUUACUUGGCAAGAGAUGAAGCGAGAAAUGAGAAUUUGUUUUGUGUCGAAGCAUUAUCGGCGUGAUCUUUUUAAUAAAUUGCAGAAUUUAAGGCAAGGAAGUUUCUCUUGAGGAGUAUUAUAAGGAGAUGGAGAAGGCCAUGAUUAGAGCCAAUGUGUAUGAAGACGAAGAGCAAACCAUUGUACGUUUUAUGGCUGGGUUACACCGCAACAUUCAGCGUAUUGUUGAGUUUCAGCCGUACCAAAGUCUUAUUGAUUUGGUACAUCAAGCCACCAAAGCUGAACGCCAGCUGCAACAAGAUGCUAAGAGCACCAAGCCCUUGUCAUAUGGUGCACGAACCAUGACUGGAGGAAGCAAAUCAAUCUCAAGGUUUACUAUUGCAUCCUCAGCGACAAAAGGUUCAACUGGAGGCUUGCGAUCCAAUAUUCAAGGCAAUUCUAGUGGAAAGAACGAUGCUGCUUCAAACACGAGUUAUAAACCAGCAGCAUCCACUUCAACAUCAGUAGGUUCAACAACCAAGAGUAGUGGUAUUCAGUGCUUCAAGUGUGGAGGUCGUGGUCAUGUCAUAAAGGAGUGUCCAAAUAAUCGUGUGAUCCUUGUGAAUGAUGAUGGAGAAUAUACAUCAGCUAGUGAAGAUGAAGCUGAAGCAGAAAAUGUAGAAGACACUCAUAAAAUUGAGGAACACACUGGAUGUGAAUUUGAGCAUGGUAUUACUCUUGUGGUUACACAAAUCUUGAGUGUUCAAAUGAAAGAAGUUGAAAUUGGACAGCGACAUAAUCUUUUUCAAACGCGAGCAAAGGUGCAAGACAAAGUAGUAAAGGUGACCAUUGAUGGAGGGAGCUACCAUAAUCUUGCAAGUCAUGAGAUGGUCGAAAAGCUUGGUUUGAAGUUGCAGCGACACCCUCAUCCAUAUCAUGUCCAAUGGUUGAAUGAAUCGGGAGAUAUCAAGAUUGGUUAUAAGGUGAAAGUUCCAUUCAAGAUUGGAGAGUAUGUUGACACAGUGGAGUGCGAUGUUGCCCCUAUGUCUAUGUGUCACAUGCUGCUAGGAAGACCUUGGCAAUAUGACCGAUAUUCUCAGCAUUGUGGAAGAACAAAUCAAUACACACUAGAUCUGAAAGGGAGAAAGUUUGUACUCAAGCCUAUUACCCCUCAACAAAUCAUGGCUGAGAAUUUACAAAAGAAGACUGAAAUUAGUGCAGCAAGUAGAGGAGGAGAAGAGCAAAAGAAAUUGAGUGCCAUCCACAAUUCGGUGAGCGAGUGCUACAAGCCAAAUUCAAGAGAUAAAAGGAAGGAAGAGGGAGAACAUCUAGUUAUGCUAGCCACAAAAUCUGAACUGAGAGAAGUGAGGAACAACCCAUAUCAAGUGCUCUUUGUACUUGUGAACAAAGAUGUUUUGAUUUCUCCUAAUGACAUAACAUCUCUUCCUAGUGUUGUAGCUGAUCUUUUGCAGGACUUUGAAGACGUGUUUCCACAAGAAACACCGGCUGGACUGCCUCCAAUUCGAGGGAUUGAGCAUCAAAUCAAUCUUUUUCCAGGGGCUGCACUUCCUAACCGUCCACCAUAUCGAACCAAUCCUGAAUAAACUAAGGAAAUACAAAGGCAAGUACAAGAACUUCUUGAUAAAGGUUUUGUUCGUGACAGUUUAAGCCCUUGUGCUGUUCCUAUGAUUUUAGUACCUAAGAAAGAUGGAUCUUGGAGGAUGUGUGUUGAUUGUAGAGCUAUAAAUAAUAUUACCAUUCGCUAUCGUCAUCCUAUUCCAUGGCUAGAAGACAUGCUUGAUGAAUUAAGUGGUUCCACAAUUUUUACUAAAAUUGAUUUGAGAAGUGGAUACCAUCAAAUAAGAAUGAAAACUGGAGAUGAAUGGAAGACUACAUUUAAAACAAAAUUUGGGUUGUAUGAAUGGUUAGUGAUGCCUUUUGGGUUGACUAAUGCUCCUAGUACUUUUAUGAUAUUAAUGAACCAUGGAUUAAGAACUUUCAUUGGAAAAUUUGUUGUUGUCUACUUCGAUGAUAUUCUAAUUUACAGCAAGUCUUUUGAUGAACAUGUGAAACACAUUUGGCAAGUUUUAGAUGAGCUUAGAAAGGAGAAAUUAUUUGCUAAUCUUGAGAAGUGCAGUUUUUGCACAGACCAUGUUGUGUUUCUUGGCUUUGUUGUUUCAGCAAAAGGAAUAGAGGUGGAUGAAUCCAAGGUGAAAGCAAUCAAGGAUUGGCCAGCUCCAACGAAUGUAAGUCAAGUAAGAAGUUUUCUUGGUCUUGCUGGUUUUUAUAGAAGAUUUGUGCGAGAUUUCAGUACCAUCGCUUCCCCUUUAAAUGAUUUGACAAAGAAAAGUGUUGAAUUUAAAUGGGGAAACUCACAAGAAGAUGCUUUUUAAGAAUUGAAGAAACGUUUGACUGAAGCACCUGUACUUAUUCUUCCUGAUUUCACUAAAAGUUUUGAAGUAGAAUGUGAUGCUAGUGGGAUUGGGAUAGGAGGAGUUUUAAUGCAACAAGGAAAACCUAUAGCAUAUUUUAGUGAAAAAUUGGGAGGUGCUCAAUUAAAUUAUUCUGUGUAUGAUAAAGAAUUGUAUGCUUUGGUCCGAACGCUUGAAACAUGGCCAAAAGAGUUUGUUAUUCAUUCCGAUCAUGAAGCUUUGAAGUAUUUGAAAGGGCAAGCCAAACUGAACCGUUGCCAUGCCAAAUGGGUCGAGUUUAUUGAAACAUUUCCAUACAUUGUGAAAUAUAAGAAAGGUAAGGACAAUGUAGUCGCUGAUGCCUUGUCUCGAAGAAAUGUGUUGUUGAAUCAACUAGAGGUAAAAGUUUUGGGUCUUGAAAAUUUGAAAGAAAUGUAUAAUGAUGAUCCUGAAUUUUCAGAACCAUACAAUCAUUGUAAAGAUGGAAAAGGUUGGGAAAAAUAUCAUAUACAUGAUGGAUUUUUGUUUAGAGCUAACAAACUUUGUGUAUCAAAUUCUUCGGUUAGAUUACUUUUAUUGCAAGAGUCACAUGGAGGAGGUCUAACAGGUCAUUUUGGACAAAAGAAGACUUAUGAACUGCUGAGUGAUCAUUUCUAUUGGCCCAAGAUGAGGAGAGACGUCAUUAGAUUUGUGGAGCGUUGUGUCACCUGUCACAAAGCUAAGUCAAAAUUGAACCCUCAUGGUUUAUAUACUCCUUUACCCGCUCCUAAAAUUCCUUGGGAAGACAUAAGCAUGGAUUUUAUUUUAGGGCUGCCGAUGACUCAAAAAAAGAGAGAUUCUAUUUUUGUUGUGGUUGAUAGAUUUUCAAAAAUGGCUCAUUUUAUUCCAUGCAACAAGAGCGACGAUGCUUCACAUGUUGCCAAUUUGUUUUUCAGAGAAAUCUUGAGGCUACAUGGAGUGCCCAAGACCAUCGUAUCUGACCGUGAUAUGAAGUUUGUGAGCUAUUUUUGGAAAACAUUAUGGGCAAAGCUUGGGACUAAACUUUUGUUCUCCACCACAUGCCACCCCCGAACUGAUGGACAAACUGAAGUGGUAAAUCGUACAUUGUCAAUGCUGUUGCGAACAAUGAUAAAGAAGAACUUGAAGGAUUGGGAGGAAUGUUUGCCACACAUGGAGUUUGCUUAUAAUAGGGAAAGAACCAAUAUGGAAGCUUCCAAGCGUGUUGCAUACAUUAAAAAGAUACAUGAGAAGACUAAGGAAACAAUUGAGCUCAAAGCAGUGCGCAAGGCUGCAAGCAUGAACAAGCAUAGGAAGAAAGUGUUAUUUGAACCGGGGGACUUAGUUUGGAUUCACUUGCGCAAGGAGCGUUUUCCUGAGUAGCGCAAAUCCAAAUUGAUGCCACGAGGGGAUGGUCUAUUUCGUGUUCUUGCCAAGAUCAAUGAUAAUGCAUACAAGAUAGAUCUUCCACCAAGCUAUGGCGUGAGCAACAUAUUCAAUGUUGCUGACCUCUUACCAUAUACAAGUGAAGACACUUCAGAGUCGAGGACGACUCCUUUUCAAGGGGAGGAGGAUGAUACGACCACGCCAUUAAGCAACACGUUACAACCCCCAAGUCAUACUACAUCAACUCAAGUACAACAAACAUCAUCACCAACCCGAGUCUUUGAUGGACCAAUUACACGUAGCCGAGAUAAGAAGCUACAACAAGAGGUGCACGUGCUACUUUAUGAAUUUUAAUUAAACACUAAUGAGAACUUUAUGCUACCUAAGUCGUGUAUAUUGAUAUUACUUAGGUUCACCAAAGAGGAAGGACAAAACAUGUCAAAGGCGAAUCAGCAAGAAGAGCUAUGUCCGAGUCAGUCCAGCGCUACAGAACCAUCCAGAAGAAACAGUCAUAUCUUUUGAUUCCCAAAAGCUAUGAAGGACCAUAAGUACUUUUUGGAAAUCUCUUGAAGUCUAGUUUCCAAUGCUUUUAAGGCCGACUUAAUCAAAUCUACCAGAAAGGCAGCCGACCUACUUUAGUGCUGACUGGUCAAAAGGUCAACAGUCGGUUUGAUAACCAAGUUUUCAUAUUAAACUGCAUCAUUCUACGAAGUUUCAUUAAGCAUGCUAUACAUGGUGAGAAAGCUUAUCAAGUCAGCUUUCCAACACAUCCAGCCCCACGUCAUUUGAAGAUUCCUAGAAGAAGUUAUUGUCAAAAUACUGAAGGCUGCGCAGAAGUCAAACAGACACACGGAAAUCAACUCUGCAGAUCUCCCGAAGAGGCUCCUUCACAUUAGCACGUGAAAAUACUUUUGUUUCAUGUUUUACCUUGCUAAGGCUGGUUGUUACUAGUAUAAAUACCUCCUAUGUCUAUGAUGUAAAGCAGCUUUUGAUAAUCUAAAACAGAACCCCUUUGUUCAGCUGUGUGCUAACAAAUAUUGAGAGUGAUCUCUACCCCUUUGCUCUUGUGAAUUCCUUCACGGGAUUGCAGAAGCGGCGGCUUCAUCCACUCCCAAGUGGUGCUUCUACUCCCUUCGAGGUCUCCUCGAUUGAUUGUAGGUUGUGUUGGUUGGUUCUUUGAGAGUGUGGUUGGGCGAAUCCUCGAUUCAGGUUGCCGGUUAAAGACGGUGGUUGGUUUCGAGUUUUAUUUGUCAGGUUGCACUAGUUAUCGCUGCUUGCAGCAAGUUAUCUUAGCUUCUUCGAAGCUAGUUAUCUGAAGAUUUAUCCUACGUCGUGAAGAUCGGGCAUUGUGACGCAUCACAUGGUAUAGGUAAAAUUAACAUCAUACCAAACAUGAGUACAAACUAUAUAAUAAUAAUGUACGCGUUGCUACGAGAUCGUUGGUUCGAGAAUCACUACAAUCGGAGUCAUGGUUGAAAAGGUAUGGUUUUCAGAAGACCCAUGCAGUUUAAGGAGUUAAAACUAGACCUUAUGUUGAUUUAAUAGAUCAUGUGAGAAAAUAAUCUAAAUAAAUAAUUAAUUCAACUUUUAAGUUAAAUUAUAAUAUAAUUAGGGAUCAUAUUUUAUCCAAACUAUAAUUAUAAACAGAUUAACUUUGAUUUAGAGAGGUUAAUAUACUAAACAUAGGUUAAAUAAAUAUCUAACUAUAAAAAUAUGAGAUAUGAUAUAACCAAUGCUAUUACAGCAUAGUGAAUAUUUAUACAAAGUUAGGCAAGUGGAACGGGUCAAUUCAGAGUUAAAAUGGAUUUAAUAUGAAUUAUCUAAAUUUCUAUACAUUUUUAUAUUUAAUUUUUAUACAUUAAAUAGUUUCCAGGACUAAACUGCAAAAGCCAGGGGCCUAACUGCUAAGUCAUUCUAUAGUGGAGGGAUGGCGGGUUAAUUCCUUAAAACAUCAAGGGCUUUUUAUAAAUCUGCUCGGCGCGCUACAGGCGGAGGGGUACAGAGACUUUCAGGCCGUUGGAUCUACAUCCAGUGGUCUGGAUUAGAUCCAGCCCCCCGUGAAUAGGUACGCUACAACAGCCACAGGAUCGAGGAUCGACGGUCUGUAACUAACAAAGGUCGAACCAUUGAUACCCAUUCGAUCCUGAUCGGACGGAUCAUCGAUCGUCUGGACGAAACGGUCCCCGACUUCAAUCGUGGCCGCUCACGAGCUGAUCAACGGCCGAGGCUUCGUCUUCCACAACCCACCUCAGCCACGGCGGCGGAGUCACCACCCCGGCGGUGCGCCCACCGGCAACAUGGCCGAUCGACCUCAUUUGCCCAAACCCAAGCGCUAAUUGGUGCAAACGGAAGAGACAGAGAUGCAGAACCAAAUGGAGACCUUCCUACCUGAAAUAGUGGUGACAGCCGUGCUGCCGACGACACGGUGUGGAUUGGUGAGCGCCGUCGUGCAAUUGUCGGCGUCCCGACCACGGCCCACGCCUGACGAGGCCACAUAUAUGUGCGGAGGGAUCCUUCGCUGCCCCAGUACCACCUGUCGAGGCUGGAGGAUCGCACAUGGGCAGAUCGAUGGCGGCAGCGGCAAUCUCUUCUCCCCGCACCCCCCAUCCAUGUGCCUACGGCACCAAGUUGUACACGGCUUCGGCUGGGUGGGGAGUCAUAAUCCUCGUGCUUUAUAGAGUCGCGGCGGAAUCCGGCCAGAGGAGAUCACGGAGUGGGGGUCGGAGUUUCUUUCGAAGCUCACGAUUGUUGCGGUCGAGUUUGUUGCGGCUUACAGUUGAAGAUCCCACACGCGGGGCCCUUGUGUCGAACCAUCAGUGCGUGCUCGUACGUGGUGGAAGGGGACUGAGCCGAGAAAGUUCGUGGCGAGAUCAUCGGGGGUUGUCGCAUGCACGGUGCGCAUGAGAAGUCCGCCAGUGCGCCCACCGGCAUCUGUUUCAGUCCGUCCCAAGGAGGACGACGACCGCUAGGCCGGGUCCACCGUGCAGUGGCACAGGGUGCAACUCCUAAUGCGCGUGGGUGGCGACCAGUGUAGGGGAGGGCCCAUUUAGCGGGUUGGUGGUUCGGAU
rnacentral:lncRNA from 1 species